rnacentral:rRNA from 1 species
UACGAAGGGUGCAAGCGUUACUCGGAAUUACUGGGCGUAAAGCGUGCGUAGGUGGUUUGUUAAGUCUGAUGUGAAAGCCCUGGGCUCAACCUGGGAAUGGCAUUGGAUACUGGCAGUCUAGAGUGCGGUAGAGGGUAGCGGAAUUCCCGGUGUAGCAGUGAAAUGCGUAGAUAUCGGGAGGAAGACCAGUGGCGAAGGCGGGUCUCUGGACAGUUCCUGACACUGAGGCACGAAGGCCAGGGGAGCAAACGGG